rnacentral:rRNA from 1 species
UACGAAGGGUGCAAGCGUUAGUCGGAAUUAUUGGGCGUAAAGCGCGUGUAGGCGGCUUUGCAAGUCGGGUGUGAAAGCCCUCAGCUUAACUGAGGAAGUGCGCCCGAAACUGCAGAGCUUGAGUACCGGAGAGGAUGGCGGAAUUCCCCAAGUAGAGGUGAAAUUCGUAGAUAUGGGGAGGAACACCGGUGGCGAAGGCGGCCAUCUGGACGGAUACUGACGCUGAGACGCGAAAGCGUGGGUAGCAAACAGG